CAGAGACAAAUACAGAGAAACAGAAAGAGUCAACAUCUUUGAGACAAAGUUGUUCCCCACCGUCCAGCCUGAUCAGCUCUCAUUUUAAUACGUGAAUCCUGCAGUUUACAGUGAAGCAAGUUUGUUUCAGAAUAAUCCAGACACUCGUAAUCAGUUCCCGGAAUCCGCUGACAUCCCUCAUGAGGUGGUGCCGCAAUGUGUGCGGGUGACGGCCUACAGCAAGAAAGUACUAAAAGAGCUGGGAAAGUUGGUCGAGAGCAAAAAAGGUCGAGAAGCCCUCAUCAAACUGCUGGGAGAAACGCCCAAGAACGCUGGCAACAACCUCAGGCUGAUCGUUGACAUGAUGUUGAAGGUGAUGGAGAAACAAAUUCAGGAGCCUGUGCUCAGAGCGUUCGAGAGAGUCAUGGAGGAUAUCAUCGCCGACAUCAACAAAUAAUACAAGAAGCUUGAAUUCACCGGCUAAACGUCACACUGUAAAAAAAAAAGUAUGAUAAAUAACUGUGAUUUUAUUAUUAUUAUUUUUUUUUUCAGGUUGUUUUCUUUUAUUUUAAAUUGCAGUCAAAACUCAGUAAAUUUAUCUUUAAAUUAACUACUUGGUUGUUAUUUUAAGUAUUAUGACAUUAAUGACAAAUUACAGUAAUUCACAUAUUUUAUACAGAAGAACUGCUGUAUGUUUAUACAGUAUGUUUUUUGUUUUCUUAAAUUACAAACAAAUGUAUGUAAAAUUACAAAAAAAAAAACCCAUGUAAUUAAUACAAUAAUAAAUCUGUUAGAUGAUAAAACGGUCAAAUGACUGGCACUAAAGUAAAAUCUCCUUAUUUAAAUAAGAUGACAAACACUGUUAUUUUACAGGUAUUUCCUGAAAUUAAUGAUCAAGCACCCUGACUGUAAAACAAAAGGGAAAAAAAAAAACGGUCAGCGGUCAAAUGACUGGCAGCACAGGGUGCCAAACAAAAACCUUAAAAUUAAAGUCAAAUCUCUUUAUAUAUAUAAGAUAACGAGACAUAAUUUACAGGCAUUUCCUAAAUUACCUUCACUGUAAAAUUAACUCAUUAACUAAUUAAUUAAACAUCACGUGACUGACAGCAACAGAACAUGAAACACAGAUCUAACAGAUCUCUCUAGAUCUCAGCAUCCAGUCUGACUUUAUUUCUUUUAUACAAAACGUCUUAUUGAGAAUUCUGAAUCUGAUUAUUAAUUGAUGAUUAUUUAAUCAUCAUACAGUAGCUUGACUCACUGAAAAUAUAAUGAGUAUUAGUGCUGGAUAUGUUAGCUUUUAGUGUUGUAUUUUUACAGCAGUGUUGUGAUAGUCAAAGAUUAUUACUAUUGUUUUUAUUUAAACAUAUGUUUUAUGCAUCUUGAAUGGAGCACAUGAAUCUCAACAAUGGUGACAAUCAACAAAAUGCUUGUUUUGUGAUAAUCAGAACCAAUAUGAAUAUUUAGUUGUUUAUCAUCAUUGUUGAGUUUCAUAUGCAUACUCUUGUCUAAAACAGACAGUUACAACAACUGGGGAAAUUUUUAAACCUCAAGGGUCAAGAGCCCAACUAAAGCAAAUGCUUAUCUCCACAAUGGUGACUUCAAACUUUAUUAAUUUCAAUUAAAUAUCAACAUCUAAACCUCAGUUAAUUCUCAAUAAGAUGUUUUGUAUGAAAGAAACAAAGUUAGACCGGUUUGUAUUAAGUGAAGAUGCUGAGAUCUAGACAGAUCUGUGAGUUUUUUUAUGUUCUUUUGGGAUUUAAAGGAUUUGUGUUGUCUGUUUUGUGGGUUACCAUUGUGCUGAAGAGUAGAGCGUGUGCGUUAGUCCAGGAGAAAAAAAAAAAAAAAGAAAGAAAAUUAAAUGCUAAUGUUAUGCUGCAUGUCUUUUUAUUUAACUGUAAUUGUAGAGUUGUUGGUGCAGUGAUCGUUAAAAUAAUUAGUUUUUGCACGUGUGCUGUUGGUAGCUAGUGGUUAACUAUGGGGUUUCGUUUGUGCCAAAAAUGAGGCGAGUGCUUUGUACUACACAUUUGUCUUUGUCUACAGAUAUUGCCUAAUUAAUCAGGUAAAUCAGUAUAUGUUGACGUCAUCUCAAUCUGUCGUCCUGUCGUCUUUUUCUCUGUAUUUUACUGUUGUCCUAACUGUCGUCCUGUUCACCGCGGGACACCAGCCGCCAUCUGCUGCACAUCUAUUUGCUGCACAUUUCAUCGUGAACACAGCUAGAGACAUGGUUGCUCAGAAAAAGAAUUUAUUGAAAUGUUCAUGGUAACUAUUAAUAAGAAAUUUUAAUAAUGCUUGUAGAAAAAAAGGAGCAAACAUUCAGUGUUAGAAUUUUUACAAACUUUAUUUUUUCAGAAAACUUUACAGUAUAAUGUAUUCGAAAGUAAUAUAAUUGUAUCUUCUAUAAUGAAAAAAACAUAUAUAUGUUUUGUAAAUACUUUUCCCCUGUUUUCUAGCACAUUUAACUUUUAACCGCUGAAAUAUAGAUGUUCGUCAGCUUUUUGGCCGCUUCUUGUCUCCGUACCUUAAUUCCACUAAUAGAUGUGCAGCAAAUCCAGAUGGUGGCUGGUGUUCCGCGGUGAACAGGACGACAGUUAGGAUGACAGAACAGGACGGCAGUAAGCAUGACAGAAUAAGACGACAGAACAAGACGACAGUAAGGACGACAGUAAGGAUGACAGAACAGGACGACAGUAAGCAUGACAGAACAGGACGACAGAACAAGACGACAGUAAGGACAACAGAACAAGACGACAGUUAGGACGACAGAACAGGACGACAGAACAGGACAACAGUUAGGACGACAAAACAGGACGACAGUUAGGAUGACAGAACAAGAUGACAGAACAAGACAUCAGUUAGGACGACAGAACAAGACGACAGUUAGGAUGACAGAACAGGACGACAGAACAAGACAUCAGUUAGGACGACAGAACAGGACGACAGUUAGAACGACAGAACAGGACGACAGAACAGGACAACAGUUAGGACGACAAAACAGGAUGACAGUUAGGAUGACAGAACAAGAUGACAGAACAAGACAUCAGUUAGGACGACAGAACAAGACGACAGUUAGGAUGACAGAACAGGACGACAGAACAAGACAUCAGUUAGGACGACAGAACAGGACGACAGUUAGGACGACAGAACAGGACGACAGAACAGGACAACAGUUAGGAUGACAGAACAAGAUGACAGAACAAGACAUCAGUUAGGACGACAGAACAAGACGACAGAACAAGACAUCAGUUAGGACGACAGAACAAGACAUCAGUUAGGACGACAGAACAGGACGACAGAGCAAGACGACAGUUAGGAUGACAGAACAAGACAACAGAACAAGACAUCAGUUAGGACGACAGAACAAGACGACAGUUAGGAUGACAGAACAAGAUGACAGAACAAGACAUCAGUUAGGACGACAGAACAAGACGACAGUUAGGAUGACAGAACAAGAUGACAGAACAAGACAUCAGUUAGGACGACAGAACAAGACGACAGAACAAGACAUCAGUUAGGACGACAGAACAGGACGACAGAGCAAGACGACAGGAUGACAGAACAAGACAACAGAACAAGACAUCAGUUAGGAUGACAGAACAAGACGACAGAACAAGACAUCAGUUAGGACGACAGAACAAGACGACAGUAAGGAUGACAGAACAGGACGACAGAACAGGACAACAGUUAGGACGACAAAACAGGACGACAGUUAGGAUGACAGAACAAGAUGACAGAACAAGAUGACAGUUAGGAUGACAGAACAAGAUGACAGAACAAGACAUCAGUUAGGACGACAGAACAAGACGACAGAACAAGACAUCAGUUAGGACGACAGAACAAGACAUCAGUAAGGACGACAGAACAGGACGACAGAGCAAGACGACAGUUAGGAUGACAGAACAAGACAACAGAACAAGACAUCAGUUAGGACGACAGAACAAGACGACAGUUAGGAUGACAGAACAAGAUGACAGAACAAGACAUCAGUUAGGACGACAGAACAAGACGACAGUUAGGAUGACAGAACAAGAUGACAGAACAAGACAUCAGUUAGGACGACAGAACAAGACGACAGUUAGGAUGACAGAACAAGAUGACAGAACAAGACAUCAGUUAGGACGACAGAACAAGACGACAGAACAAGACAUCAGUUAGGACGACAGAACAGGACGACAGAGCAAGACGACAGUUAGGAUGACAGAACAAGACAACAGAACAAGACAUCAGUUAGGACGACAGAACAAGACGACAGUUAGGAUGACAGAACAGGACGACAGAACAAGACAUCAGUUAGGACGACAGAACAAGACGACAGUAAGGACGACAGAACAGGUCAACAGAACACAAUGACAGUUAGGACAACAGUAAAAAAAACAGAGAAAAAGACGACAGGACGACAGAUUAAGACAACGUCAACAGACAACAUGCACGUCAAUAUAUACUGAUUUACCUGAAUAAUUAGGCAAUAACUGUAGACAAAGACACGUGUAGUACAAAGCACAAAGCAGUCGCCUCUUUUUUUGGCACAAAUGGAACCCCAUAGUUAACUGCAAAAAAUAAUAAAUUUCAUAGAGAAUGUUUCAUGAUAAUCCAGAAAAUACUUAUAAAGUAACUAUUUUUAAAAAGAAAGAAAAAAAAAACAUUUAAGAAAAUUUAGGAUAUUUGACCUUAAUUUUACAGUUUGUUCCAUAGCUGCUUCUGCCAGUCAUUGACCAUUUAUUAAAAAAAAUGCUCUUUAACCUUUAUUUCCAUUAAUGGUAAGUAUUUGGCACCCUGUGCUGCCAUGCAUUUCACUGUUUUUUUAAGUUUAUUUUUUUUUUACAGUACACGCUGAACAUCACAAACUCAAUGAAUCAUAGAAAAGCACUUGUCUUUUUAAUGCCAUUAGUGAAUAGAAGUUACUGUGCAACUAAUACAAUUAAAAACUAUCCACAAAGAACAAAUCAUGUGUAAAACCCAAAUACCUAUACAACUGUGUUUGUAGGUCUUAGUCAGGGCAGGGUCAGGUUUGAUUUUGACGGGAAUGAAAACGAGGCUGUUUGAUGGAUUGUACUGUUGUUUGACAGCACAACCAAACUUAAAUUAGAUAAAACUCCAUAAACACCUCUGAAAGUUCUUGGAACUAAACUAACUAAACUUCAUCUGAAUUGCACUUGAGUGAUUGCACAUGAAUAAAAUCCUGAUUAAUUUGCGAGAACAUGAAAAUUGAAAUUAAAAUUGGUUUAAUUCCAAUGACACCUCUUUUAUUAUGAAAGGCCAUAUAUUUGUUUCUUAAGACUUUAUUUGUCUUACUGUUAUUAACCUGCAUUAUGAAUCAUUUGCUUCGCUUCUGUAAAGCAGCUCUGAUUAAUAAAUGUCGCUUGUACCUGCUGAAAAACUAAA